rnacentral:rRNA from 1 species
UACGAAGGGGGCUAGCGUUGCUCGGAAUCACUGGGCGUAAAGCGCACGUAGGCGGGUUCUUAAGUCAGGGGUGAAAUCCUGGAGCUCAACUCCAGAACUGCCUUUGAUACUGGGAAUCUCGAGUCCGGGAGAGGUGAGUGGAACUGCGAGUGUAGAGGUGAAAUUCGUAGAUAUUCGCAAGAACACCAGUGGCGAAGGCGGCUCACUGGCCCGGUACUGACGCUGAGGCGCGAAAGCUAGGGGAGCAAACGGGG